AUUGAACGCUGGCGGCAGGCCUAACACAUGCAAGUCGAACGGUAACAGGAAGAAGCUUGCUUCUUUGCUGACGAGUGGCGGACGAGUGAGUAAUGUCUGGGAAACUGCCUGAUGGAGGGGGAUAACUACUGGAAACGGUAGCUAAUACCGCAUAACGUCGCAAGACCAAAGAGGGGGACCUUCGGGCCUCUUGCCAUCGGAUGUGCCCAGAUGGGAUUAGCUUGUUGGUGGGGUAACGGCUCACCAAGGCGACGAUCCCUAGCUGGUCUGAGAGGAUGACCAGCCACACUGGAACUGAGACACGGUCCAGACUCCUACGGGAGGCAGCAGUGGGGAAUAUUGCACAAUGGGCGCAAGCCUGAUGCAGCCAUGCCGCGUGUAUGAAGAAGGCCUUCGGGUUGUAAAGUACUUUCAGCGGGGAGGA
rnacentral:rRNA from 1 species